CGCAAUGGGCGAAAGCCUGACGGAGCGACGCCGCGUGAUUGAUGAAGUCCCUAGGGACGUAAAGAUCUUUUAUGAGGGAAGAAGUUUAUUGACGGUACCUCAUGAAUAAGGAGCUCCUAAUCUCGUGCCAGCAGGAGCGGUAAUACGAGAGCUCCAAGCAUUAUCCGGAAUUAUUGGGCGUAAAGGGUGCGUAGGUGGCAUUGUUAGUCUUUUGUUAAAUCUCCGAGCUUAACUUGGAAACCGCAAAGGAAACGGCAAAGCUAGAGAAUGUGAGAGGUAUGUGGAACUCUAAGUGUAGGGGUGAAAUCCGUUGAUAUUUAGGGGAACACCAAAAGCGAAGGCAACAUACUGGCACAUAUCUGACACUCAAGCACGAAAGCGU
rnacentral:rRNA from 1 species